rnacentral:rRNA from 1 species
AUGGGGAAGGGCGGCGAGCUGUGGGACGACUCGGCGCUGGUGGACGCCUUCGACCACGCCGUCGCCACCUACAAGGCAAUGCAUGGCAAGAACAACCAAGGUGCUCCAUCUGAGAAACAAGAGUCAGAAGAUGUAGCUGCUGCUGCCGCGUACGCUGCCGCUGCUGUUGCAGAAGAACCUGUCUCUACUGAAGUGGCAGAUGAGCAAACAGAGAAAAAUGACAGCUGCACUAACUUACCCAUUGGUCCAGUGGAGACACCACAGCAGCCCUGUGAGGAAAGAAAUACCGAUAAGCAAGCUCCUCUUCAAGAAACUGAUCUGGGCAAAGAGACAAAGAUCUCUGAAUCUAAGACAUGCUUCUCAGAUGUCACCAAUACCGAGGGAAAGGAUAGUUCAAACCAGCAGAUAGAGGACUACAAUGAAUUACUCAGGAAGUACUAUGAACUUGAGGUGCAAAGCCAGAAAGUUCUUGAGCAAUUACAUCAGACAAAUUUUUGGAAUUAUCAAACCCCUGAACAAUCUUCAGCAUACCAACAGCAGCAAGUUCCUGCUUACAUUGCCACAGCACCAGAUCCAAACUCUUCAACCACUCAAACCUCAUGCUGCUCCUUGAAUGUUCCCAUGGUUUCAAUCUCCUGCUGUUCAACUGGGCAACAAAGUGGUGAUUCCUCUGGUAUGCCACCUAAUGGAGGCUGCAGCAUAUCAUUCACUUGUGAUCAUUGCCCUGGAGCAAGCACUACAUAUCCUACUGGUGCAGCCUUCACGCAGCUCCCAACUAAGGUAUCUACUGGCGAUGAUCAAGUUGCUAAGGCUGCAAUGAUGACUGCUGAAGGUGCCAUGAAUUUCAUGAGAAAUACAAUAUCUGGAGAUGCUGCCUCCUUUCCAAACAUAGGAAAUGAAGGUGGAAUUGGAAAGGAGAAUAACACAACUUUGGGCAUGAACCUGAAUUUAGACACCACAGGAGCAGACAGUGAUCUCGCUGUCGUACUGAAUGCAUGGUAUACAGCAGGGUUUUACACUGGCAGGUACCUCAUGCAGCAAUCGAUGAAAAAUCCCCGAGAAAAUUGA